GAAAAUUUCCCUUUCUUCUUCCUCCCGCGCGCAAACCUCUCUCUCCAUCUUUUUCUUCUUCUCCUUCCUGUACCCUAGCCGCACGCCUCCCUUUCUUCUUCUCCGUUCACCCUAGCAGCCGGUCGUUUGCGAAGCAGUGGGCUACAAAAUCGUGGGUCAUGCGACUCUCCGUUUCCCUAGCUGAGCCACAAACCGUCUGUAUGCAGUCUCUCCGUCGCACGUCGUCUCUUCGUUGUAUUCCGUUUCUCUGUCGCACGUUGUCUGUUCACAAAGCUGCUGCUCGAUUUCUUCCGCGAGUAACACCUUUGACGUCCGCGCAGUCAGGUUUUCGUUCGCUACAGUGAAGCUGCCGUGAACCGAACUAAAGACCCCAGAUCCAACUUUCUGCGCGUCGAGUUUCUUCUUCGUCCUGCCGCAGGUAGCAAACCCACACCAUUCGAUUGGGUUGUUCACUAUCGUUCCUGCUUUGCCACGAGUCAUUAAAUUUUGGUCGGUUGAAGGUAACACUCGAAUUCCUUGGGUUCGCAGCAAACAAUUGAUUCUAGUUGGAACUCGUUUCGUGAAGAUUUGGGUUCGUUCUUCGUAGACUUCAACGUGGUUAAGGAGCUUAACUAACUUUAAGGCAAAGGUAAUAAAGGCGGCAAACCGGCGAGGGGUAGGAAGGAAGCGUGACCGCCACAGGGGACACUUUAAAAUUUUGCUUCCGCUUAGUGAUUUAUAGUAUUAUUUGUAUUCGAACGUGAGACUGUUUAGAAAAUUUUGAGGUUUUAAAGUAUUCACAUAUUUGAAACUUUGUAGUUUUAAAUUUUCAUGUGGAUUUUAGUAACUUAAAACUGGGCCCAAACAAACAAAAUAAAUUUUGUUCUUUUGAGGUUUGAAA